UACAGAGGGGGCAAGCGUUGUUCGGAAUUACUGGGCGUAAAGCGUGCGUAGACGGUUAUGUAAGUUAGGUGUGAAAGCCCCGGGCUCAACCUGGGAAUUGCAUUUAAGACUGCAUAGCUAGGGUGCGGAAGAGGGAAGCGGAAUUUCCGGUGUAGCGGUGAAAUGCGUAGAUAUCGGAAGGAACAUCAGUGGCGAAAGCGGCUUCCUGGUCCAGCACCGACGUUCAGGCACGAAAGCGUGGGGAGCAAACAGG
rnacentral:rRNA from 1 species